GCAACUGCGCCAGAUAGUAUUGCACGUGCCCUGCUUCUCCAUCUUGUUCUGCACUCAUCUUACUAUGCCGGUACCGGAUUCAAGAGAUACUGGAAGAAUUGAGGAUGAUGAAAACUAUGAGGUAGAUUGUUGCUAAUCUCCCAAAUCAAAUUGCUAAUAGUGGACAAUCAAAGUGUACUCUAUAGUUCUAAAUCUCUAUAUGGCAACUAGAAAAGAUAUUUUUAUCAUUGGUUUCUUUUUCACUUUGAUGGCUCUUCAAUCAAUGAAUGUGACUGCUCAAUAUCAUAAUUGUUUUGCGAGGUAUAACCCACACCACCCAUGGUACUCUGAUGGAUUGUCUUGUGUUGGGUCACUCAUGCGUUGGAGGUAUUCGCCUACAGAUGAUGUGAAAGGGGAUUGUAUAGAUUGGUGCAAGUCAUUUGGUGCCAGUGUUGGGAUAGCGUGUGCCCAGAUGAAUGAGGAUGAACUUAAUAAGAUAUAUUGUGCUUGUUACUCAGAGUGUCAUCCGGAUGAAGAAGCUCAGGGGCCUACCUUUUGAGAUAAAGAUGCAUUCUUCAAUAUUGAUUUUUUGGUUGAAACCAUUUCUUAUCAUCUUAUAAGAAGGGGAUAGUUUUAUGCACACUGUCAUCAUGAUUAUAGUUCGUGUUGAAGAAAUCUACAAGUCUUUAAGUUUUUCAGCUUCUGGUGGUGUUCUUGUUAUUGUUGUAUAAACAGAAGAGUUUAGCUCGAGUGUUGUUUGAAUCGAUGUUUAAUAAUGAAUGAUUGAUUGUGUUAAUUAAUCUAAUCUAUUAAUGAGUGUUCUAUUA